rnacentral:ribozyme from 1 species
UGAUGAAUGUUGGUUCACCUUUGAUUUAUAUGGAUGUACAAGGAGAUGAAGAAGAAGGCGGUGAUGAUGAUGGUAAUGUGGGCAGUGGAGAGAAGUUGCAUAAUGUAAAUGAAGAAGAAGAUCGAUUAUCUAUACCACCAAGUAUUUCUCCACCUGUA